GUGUCCGUAGCUCAGCUGGAUAGAGCAACGGCCUUCUAAGCCGUGGGUCGGGGGUU
rnacentral:tRNA from 1 species